UUUCCUACUUGUCCACAGAGAGAAAGAGGAGAGCAAUUAUACUGUUCAGAACUGCCGAGUAAGCAUGUGUCCCCUCUGCAGCUACCAUGCCUCCUCUCCUUCACUUGCACUCUCCUCCUCCCAGUCAUCCCCGCCUCAAGGAGGACUGAGCUGCCCUGUUUUUCCAUCUGCACAUCCUGCGUGGAGGGGAGAAUGAACUAACACUUACUGAGCACCUCUUGUGGGCCAGAGCGGGAGACAGAGUUUGCAUGGGGUUCAGGAUGCAUGCCUCAGGAGUUUCUCUCGCCCUCGUCCAGCUCUGUUGGUUGAUGGCUACUACCCAUUGGUUACCUGGAGCAAUAUGAAAUUUUCUGAGAGCAUCUUAUAAAGCAUAUCCUUCGCCUCCUUUGCUGGGAUCAUUGCAAAGUCUUCUACCUGCUUCUGCUCCAGGUGUUUCUUUUGCAAAACUAGACGAAAUAUUCUGGCGCAGCGAGACCCAAACCUGGACAGGAAUGAAGAAAGCAAACAGCAUGCUUUAGCUCCCAGCCGCACACGGUGGGGGCUCUGUUCCCAUCUGUGGAGCCAGGACCCAAGAGGGACAGCAAUCAGAGGACUCUUUCUCAAUGCCACUGCCGGGCUGACGGUGGUGCUGCUAGCCACAGGCGGUCACCGACUGCUGACAGCCCGGAGGGCCUCACGUCCUGCCCUGGUAAGUAAAGCUUUACGGAGGCUGGCCAAAGGGCACUGGGAAUGAAGCAGGAGGAUAUUUAGGAUGCAGACAGUAGAAGAUGGGAUCCAUAGCAGUCCAGUGAAAAAUGGGGCAGGUGGCCCUAGCCAGUGUGGCUCAGUAGAGAGAGCCUCGGCCUGCGGGCUGAAGGGUAUCAGGUUCGAUUCUGGCCAAGGGCUUGCAGGCUCAAUUUCCAGUAGAGGGCGUGCGGGAGGCCGCCGAUUGGUAAUUCUCUCACCAUUAAUCUCUCAUCAUUAUCUCUAUCCCUCUCCCUUCCUCUCUGAAAUCAAUUU